ACUUUCAAAUCCCUUUAUGUAGAUCUCAGAGGGGAGUAACUUUUUGUUAAAAUAAAAGUGCCUUCCAGUUGUAAAGCUACCCAAAACCCCAGUGUGCUAAUAGAAGCCAGCUCCUACAUCAGAGGCCCCCAAAUCAGAUCUUGCCUUUCAGACAGAGAAUGGUACAGAUGUCAUAAGAGUAUGUUAUUUGAGGAGAGGGGGGUCCCAACGUAAUCCGCUCUUUGCAUAGUACCUUACUCAUGGGAGUCAUGGCAUCAGAGUCCCAGUUCAUGUUACACAGCAGCCCUGCCUUGCAACAGAGACCCCAAGACCCACAGGAUGAGUUGCACUGCCCCUGGGACAUUUUCUAGGUUACUGUAGAAGUGUAGACACCCAGGGGAAGUCAGUAAUGAGGACAAUGUGGUUUAGCACUGAAUUAAAUCUGCCCUUAGCUCCAUCAGUCUGGUCUUUUCUUGUGAAAAGAUUCUGGGCAUUAUAAAGCCCGCCUUACCUAGAUGGUAUUAGGGACACCGGGGACAGCGUUACCUGCCCCUCAGCAUGUAAGCCUGCACUCACUGCUGCCUUUGUAACAAGCCAGUCUUGGUCCUUAGCAUUGGAAAUAGCUACAGACUUCAGAAAAAAAAAAAAAAACAAAACUAUUUUUGAAUAUUUAGUGUUGUCACAGGACAUCAAUCAUACUACUCUCAUUUACUAGCAGUUAAAAAUCAUAGUACUAAAAACCUAUUUGUUUCCGUUUUUAAUUUCUGUAUGGUUGUGGUUUUUAGGACAUAUGGUGUUAGGAGAAAAUUUUCUUGGUCAGAUCAAGAUCUUCAUCAGUUCUGGGCUGGGGAUAUAGCUCAGUUGGUAGAGUGCUUGUCUUACAUGCACAAGGCCCUGGGUUCAAUCCCCAGCACCACACACACAAAACAACAACAACAAAAAUCAAUUCUCCUUUGUCCUAUUUCUUUUCUCCUAAGUCUACUGUAUUUUACCUGAGCUGAAAUGUUGUGUAUCCAAGUCCAUGCGCAUAUUUGAAGACAUUUUCGGUUCUAACCCUUGGUGGCUCCUCUGAUUUAUGCACAGGUGGUUCCUAGUGUGUCUCCAUUUCUUCAUGGAUGGGACCAUCACAGCAGCUAAUCAGACUUCCUGCCAGUGUCCUGGAUCCCAGGGCCCAUUGUUAAACAAUAUUUAAAGAUUGGAAUUUGUAUAAAAUAGCUUCCAAGUUUUAUAAUGCAUCAUUUUACAUCUUUCGUAAUUAAAAGCAGCACAAUAAGGUUGUAUCUGCAUU
rnacentral:lncRNA from 1 species